rnacentral:lncRNA from 1 species
GGAGAUUCCGGUUCUACUUGUUGAAGAGAUGUCAUAAAGAUUGUUAUACAUUAGGGACUACAGCCUCGUUCCUCCUGGUAAACAUGGGUCUGUGAGUAUUUGGGGGAUUUUGUUCCAGAAGAAACCUUAACAUUCAACAUGUGACUCCACGAGGCUCCUUAGUUCUGAACACAUGUGACCAGUGACUUGAAAGUGGGUGAGAGCCUCGAGGCCUGGCUGUGAGGCUACAGGGCAACAAUUUCCUUGCCUGCUGAAAUAAGAAAUAAGAAAAUAAGAAAUAAGAAAGCAGACUUUUCUGCACAAGCCAACGUUGCCAAACAGGGAUAUAACAUCAACACUCGCUCACAGCACCAAGCUACCCCUUUGGAGGAAGUCCAGAGAAAUGUAACAGAAGAAGAAGAAGAAGAAGAAGAAGAAGAAGAAGAAGAAGAAGAAGAACCCAACAGCCCCCAGAUGUAGGACCAUCUUCCCAGAGGGACAUCUGGAAGCUGUCAUACACUCCUGACAUCUCUACUCACUUUUGGUAAAAAAGAAAAGCCAGCACCAUCUGCCUCUCCUUCUCCUUUACGUUGACUAUCCUCCAAAGCUGGCUAUUCCUGAAUAGGAUGAAAACCACGCAAGGAAGGAUUCCCUCUUCUUACGGAGGCCCAAAGCAAGGACAUUGGGUAUUUCUCAAUUGUAUUUGAAAUGAAUGUUUUGAUAUUUUGGGAAACGUCUAUCAAGGAAAUAAACCACGAGAAAUUCUGAAUAGUUCA